rfam:Sporisorium reilianum SRZ2 chromosome 6 complete DNA sequence
GACUCCGUAGCUCAGUUGGUUAGAGCGCAGCACUGUUACCCUUUCGAGCAUUCUGGCGGGCUGGCCAACUCUCUGCGUUUGCGAGGCGACCAGUCCAUCCCUUUGCCCUGCUUUCUCUUUCUCACUUCACUUGUCAAGGAGAUGCUGAGGUCGGCGGUUCGAGCCCGCCCGGGGUCG